rnacentral:rRNA from 1 species
CAUGCCGUAAACGAUGAUUACUAGGUGUGGGUGGUCUGACCCCAUCCGUGCCGGAGUUAACACAAUAAGUAAUCCACCUGGGGAGUACGACCGCAAGGUUGAAACUCAAAGGAAUUGACGGGGGCCCGCACAAGCAGUGGAGUAUGUGGUUUAAUUCGAAGCAACGCGAAGAACCUUACCAGGUCUUGACAUCUACCUGAUUCUUCAGAAAUGAGGGAGUGCCCUUCGGGGAAAGGUAAGACAGGUGG